GACGAACGCUGGCGGCGUGCCUAAUACAUGCAAGUCGAGCGCUGAAGGUUGGUACUUGUACCUACUGGAUGAGCAGCGAACGGGUGAGUAACGCGUGGGGAAUCUGCCUUUGAGCGGGGGACAACUUCUGGAAACGAAUGCUAAUACCGCAUAAUAUCUUUAAACACAAGUUUUAAGUUUGAAAGAUGCAAUUGCAUCACUUAAAGAUGAUCUCGCGUUGUAUUAGCUAGUUGGGGAGGUAAAGGCUCAACAAGGCGAUGAUACAUAGCCGACCUGAGAGGGUGAUCGGCCACAAUGGGACUGGGACACGGCCCAAGCUCCUACGGGAGGCAGCAGGAGGGGAACUUCGGCAAUGGAGGAAAGUCUGGACGAGCAAAGCCGGGUGAGUGAAGAAGGUUUUCGGGUCGUAAAAAUCUGUUGGUAGGGGAGAAAGUUGGGGAGAGUGGAAAGCUCAUCAAGUGACGGUAACUAACCAGAAAGGGACGGCUAACUACGUG
rnacentral:rRNA from 1 species